AUUGAACGCUGGCGGCAGGCCUAACACAUGCAAGUCGAACGAGUGGCGGACGGGUGAGGAAUGUAUGGGAAACUGCCUGAGGGAGGGGGAUAACUACUGGAAACGGUAGCUAAUACCGCAUACCAUCAGAUGUGCCCAGAUGGGAUUAGCUGGUUGGUGGGGUAACGGCUCACCAAGGCGACGAUCCCUAGCUGGUCUGCUAGGAGGACCAGCCACACUGGAACUGAGACACUGUCCAGACUCCUACGGGAGGCAGCAGUGGGGAAUAUUGCACAAUGGGGUCAAGCCUGAUGCAGCCAUGCCGCGUGUAUGAAGAAGGCCUUCGGGUUGUAAAGUACUUUCAGCGGGGAGGCGUUACCCGCAGAAGAAGCACCGGCUAACUCCGUGCCAGCAGCCGCGGUAAUUC
rnacentral:rRNA from 1 species